AGUUAAUAAGUUUAAAACAUAUAUUUUGAAAAUAUAAAAUAGGACCAAUCCUAUUAACUU
rnacentral:tRNA from 1 species